CUCACGUCUUAAAGAUUUAGGGUUGUUGGAAUAGAGUUUAUCAGCUGAAGUUCUCUGAAGAACUGAGCUGAAGCUAAGUCGUCUUUCUCUGAAAACUAAAAAGCUGAAGCUGGCGAUACCUACGAUUCCCUUCUCCCUAAUACAGAUUUCGUCAAGAAAGAGGAGAAUAAGAAGGAAUUGAUUACUUUGGGGUUGUUGGAAAUGGAACAAAUUAAGAGUUACAGCUGAAAUUCCAAAGUAUAGGAAGAAAGCGUCGAAAAUCGUGAACCCUAGGCAUAUUCAGCAGCCGAGAUAGAGGGAAUUACUACUCGA